UUUUUUUUUUUUGUUGUGUGUGUGUGUGUUUCUUUUUUUCCAGAUAAGGAAUCAGUUGUGUCUUCUUAAGAUGCUCUGUCUAGUAAUUGAUGUUUGCCUUCUCUUAGUGAUAGAAAAUAUCUGUACUCCUUGUUACAGUGCUAGUUGGCCUUGUGAAAUUUUCUGACUCAUAGUAUAGAGGUUUUUACUUAAUUGUGAAGUUUCACCUAUUAUGUAAAUGCUCUACACCCGUACUCUUUGUCUGCCUUUUCACUUUUGCUACAUGGUUUGUCGGGUAAAUAUCUCCUUUAGUUUCAUCUACAUUAAAUAAGAUGCCUAAAUGGGUCUGGGUUGAUUAAUUGGAUUAUACUUUCUGAAUGUACUGAACAAAAAUUCCAUCUUUAUUCGUGAAUUAUGUUGCUAUUACAAAUAUUCAUCUCUUCUGGAUAUAUGUUUCUGGGUCAUAAUUGUUCCCAAGCCUCAUUUCAUUUCAUUAGUUGUCUUCCUCUUAUAAGCUAGGGCAGUUUCCUUUUUGCAGGGAUAGAAAUAGAUGAUGAUGAACUUGCACGUUUUGUGGAACAUGUCGAUAAGGAUAAUAAUGGGAUUAUCACUUUUGAAGAAUGGAGAAAUUUUCUUCUACUUUAUCCACAUGAGGCCACGAUGGAGAAUAUAUACCGAUACUGGGAGAGGGUAUGUCUUGUAGAUAUUGGUGAGCAGGCUGUAAUUCCAGAAGGCAUCAGUAAGCAUGUUCAUGCAGCUAAGUAUUUGAUUGCUGGGGGAGUUGCAGGAGCUGCUUCUCGUACCGCUACAGCUCCCCUUGAUCGGCUUAAGGUGGUUUUACAAGUUCAGACUACCCGUGCUUCUAUUGGUCCUGCUGUCAAAAACAUAUGGAAGGAGGGUGGUUUAUUGAGUUUUUUUAGGGGCAAUGGAUUAAAUGUGAUGAAGGUUGCACCUGAAAGUGCAAUCAAGUUUUACACUUACGAAAUGUUGAAAAAUGUAAUUGCUCGUACGAAGGGGGAGGAACAGGGUGACAUUGGAGCUUCUGGGCGUCUUGUGGCGGGGGGCUUGGCUGGUGCAGUAGCACAGACUGCUAUCUAUCCCAUGGAUCUCGUUAAGACUCGGUUACAAACUCAUUCAUGUGAAGGUGGAAAGGUUCCCAACCUGGGAAAACUAUCAAAAGAUAUAUGGGUUAAGGAGGGAUCUCGGGCCUUUUAUAGAGGACUGAUACCAUCUCUUCUUGGAAUUAUACCUUAUGCAGGCAUUGAUUUGGCUGCCUAUGAGACAUUGAAGGAUUUGUCCAAGAUAUAUAUUCUUCAUGAUAGCGGUAUAGCUUCUAACUGUUCAACUGCUACUAACUUUUGUCCGACAAAAUGAAAUGCAAAUUUUUCUAACAAUUGUGUUUGAUAUACAGAACCUGGCCCUCUUGUGCAACUGGGUUGUGGGACAAUUUCCGGAGCGCUUGGAGCAACUUGUGUUUAUCCUUUACAGGUCGUUCGGACGAGGUAACUCUCUAUGUCUAACUGAUGCUGCUACCAUAAAUAUUUGCAUUUGAAUGUACUUCAUGUGUUAUCAUGCAAUUUGCCUUUCUUUUCACACACAAACUUCAAUUUUUGCUAGAAUGCAAGCUCAACCUACAAAUGCUGAUGCUGCUUACAAAGGAAUGUCUGAUGUGUUCCGGAGAACACUUCAGCAUGAAGGUCUCAGAGGCUUCUACAAAGGACUUUUUCCAAAUCUUCUAAAAGUAGUUCCAGCAGCAAGCAUUACUUAUCUCGUUUAUGAAUCCAUGAAAAAGAGUCUAGAACUCGAUUAGGUGAUAUAUUCUUGAUUGACUGCUCCACAUUUGGGGGUAAAAACAGCUGAUGCGGAGGAUGAUGAUGAAAAUGAAUUAAGAUUUUAGGCUCAUUGGUGCUUUGAUCGUCAAAAUAAUGCACUUGACUUUAACUUAACAAAAAUAAAAAUAAAAAUAACAUACACAUGAUUGAUGCGCCAUUGCAUGUUGAAGAAAUUUUAACGGGAGUUUUUUUCUUCUCCUGACAGAGAAGUCUUCUUUUGGUGAUUUCUGUCUGAGUUCUAUAGGCACGUCCUCUGUAAACUAAUGCUAAUUUUUACAUACACAAUGUAAUACUGUAAGGUGUAGAUCUUACCAUUUUUGCUAUAUGGAUAAUUUGCGUGGAUGAUCUAACUCAUUUUGCUCCAUUUUCCUUGGUGCAGACGAGACCGUUGUAUUACCAAAAUAACCAGGUGCUUACUGUGUAACCAGAAUUCAUGGUUCGACAUUAGAUUUCUUAUACUCGUAAAGUGGGAUGGUAAGUAAUCUGUUAUUGUGCUCAAAUACUUGAGUUAAUCAAACAGCACUGAAAAUUGAAAUCCCGGCAUACUCAAUCUGCCUCUGUAUUAAGUAAAACUAACCAAAGUAUACGCAAAAGAAGAAAGAACGUUCACGUGGAUGUAUGUAUGUAGAAGUAAGUAUAAAGUUAAACGAAAUCAAAGGUAAAUAUGAGAGUUGAAUAACAAAAAAUUAUUGUUGCACUAGUAUAAUAUGAGAGUUGAAAAACAAAAUUUAUUAUGAUAGUAUAAUAUGAGAGUUGGAAAAAAAUAUUUAUUGUCAUAGUAUAAUAUAUUUUUCUAAGGUUGCGAGAAGGGUACGAUGUCAUUCUUUUAAUUUUUUUUGCCCUUUCUCUAUCCGACAGGGAAGCAAGAAGUAUUUUUUUUCUUUCUAAUCUACUCGUUAGCAAAUAAUGUUAGAUUAUUUCCUUAAUAUGGCGUCAGAAGCUCAAAAGUUUUAAACUUUCAGUUUUUUCUAUAUUUAAUAUUUACACGCUAAACAAAACCCCAAAAAUAAAUUAUUUAAUUUUGGGCCGUAAAAUUUUCAAUACUGCUGUCAGUAUUUCUUGGUUAGCCGAGGUCUGGGAGAAAAAUCACUAUAAAUAAUGUUUUUUUAUUAAGCGAGUGAGAGGGUGCCGUUUUCUGCUGAGAUCUGAGGUAACUCGCCGUUUCUCUCGAAUCAUCUACGUGUGUAUUUCAACAUUACUAGUUUUUAUAUACGUGCCUCGCACGUAUAAUAAAAGGCGCACCUAAUAGUUAAUAAUAUGAAUAUACUUGUCACCAAAAAAGUGUUAAUAUGAAACUCAUGAUAUUAAAGAUUUACUUGUAGCUAAUUCAUUUUCUUUAUCACUAUUAGUUUUUUAGUUACUUAUAUGAAAAAAUGGGCAAAAAACAUAUAAAAUGGGCAAGAAAGAUUUUCGUGCAUAUAAGAAGACUUGAGAGAUUGAACCAUAAGAACUUGCUUCGUAUCGUAUCUUUUACGAUAUAAGGAAGAAAUUUUUUUUUGGUUUUUGAAUAUGUUAAACAUGGACUUACAAUUUAUCUAGAAUUGUUAUUAUUCAUACUCUCAUAUAAUUAAUUGACCACUACAUUAUUUUUGCUCUUUCUUCUUUCUUUUUUCCCUUCCAACUGUGAAAUUAAGAUAUGAGAUGGUAAUAGUAGAUAUGAAUUUAUAACUUUAAAAUUAUAACGCAUUAAAUGCUAAAAAACUUGAAGGUUGAACUUAUAAAAUUUAAAUCUUAGAUUCGCCUUUGUAUAGCAUGCUAUCAAAUUAAUUCGUCAAUAUAUAUGUCAGACGGUUCGAACACAACGGUCAUUAAGACAAUCUAGGUGGUUCGAAGUGAUUUUAAGCAUCCAAAAUAUAUCCUUCUUUUGUUGUCGAUUUUUCCGAUAGUACAAACAUGGGUUAUGGUGUAGAUAUUACCAAGAUCAGUCAUAUAAUUUUUAGUGUUUGUUUACAUGACUUAUUCAUCCAUGAAAAUAUAUAGUACACGAGAGUAAAUAAUGUUUCCUUUAGAUUAAAAAAUCAAUAUUUAAAUCUUUAAUGUUUUUCUUAAACCUUUUUCCUGGGGAUUAUUAAUGUUCUCCCAAAGAACCACUUUGCUAAUUAAUGGAACUUUUAAGAAAUAAAUAAAUUUAGUCGAAAUAGCAAUAACCAAAUAAAAUAGGUACACACAAUAGAGCUUAAAGGAGUACUCCUACAUUUCAACACAUCCAUAGAAAAAAAAUAACCAAUCGGUUGUUACAACAUCAGUGUAGCAAUUGAAAACACCAAGUGUCUUGAAUUCCGAUUAAGUUUGUUAAGAUGAAUGCACGGAGGUCUGAUAAUACCAAGCUACAAGUUAUACAAAUUAGUUAACACAAGUCAUUCCUUUUCAAAUUGAGAGUACUCCUUUACCGAAUAGUUUUCUUAUCAUUCAAUCGGUUUCUUUUUGACUUCAAAUCCUAGAUAUUAGAGUACUAAAUAUUAGGUAAAGUUUUGGGUGUUACAAUUUUAUCCAUCAUGGAGUUAUUUAUUUGCACAAAUAAUUCAAUUUCAUAAAGGGAAAAAAAGUCGAUUAAUAUUUCAAUGAUAUUUUUAUCGUUCAAUAUUUAGCGUUUUAACACUCGUGCUUUUAUAAUAAUAUAGAUAGAUAUAAAUAUAUAGCGCUAAUAUAGAAACGCACCCACAUCUACCUAUAUAUGAGGUAUGGAGUGGGAAAGAAGCAAAGUUAUUUUUCACAUGCAUGCCACGGGCUAAUUAACUUGUUUCGUUUUUUUUUUUUGAAUUUUUUUCGCCUCGUUAAAACUAUGUCGUAUAUAUAUGAUUGAAGGAAAGCAAAUAUCUUUCGGUUUAUGGAGCUUAAACAGAUUUUAGGUGCCAUCAUUCUGGUAUAUUCAUUCAUAUUCAAGUUAAUUAGCGUACUUUGCUAGUUGGAAUGGCCUUUGUGAUACUAAUUAUACUUAUCGGGGAAGAUGAAUAAUGUAGGAUUCCUAACGUAUAAUAUUAUGUCCUAAAACUAAUAGGAUUAUAAGGCCAAUAUUUAGAAUUCCGGUUAUGUCUUUUUAUUAUGAGUUAUUAUGCUUAAUGUUAUAAGGUAAUUUUUGUAAACCGACAUUGUAUUCAUGCUAUUAUAAUAAUAUAAAUAUAGAUAGAUAGAUAUAGAUAGUGUUACUCAUGCGCUCUUGAUUUAUACAAAUACUGUAUUUUCUUGCGUAGAUGUUACUGAUAUUUCAAUAACCUGCUUAUCUCUCAUUAUGUAUUAUUCACAAUUCCGGAUCUAGGAUUUUAAUCCUAGGUUUAGGACUUAGGUUCCAACCACUGAAACCAUCACCUUGUCUUUCCCUGGAGCUAAAAUACCAAUAGACAGGAAUUUGUUCUAAUAGCUUUUGAUCUUUUUUCACCUGAUGUUUUGUUUCUUGGAAGCCAUAUGAUCCUAUGCCUUUUAUCCCUAUUAUUUUAGGUGUUGAUAAGUUUUUCUUAGGUGUGUCACUAGUGUUUAGGUCUAAGACUAUUGGUUUCCUUUAACAAACUACUAUUCAUUAUAUUCUGCAUUUUUAUCAAAUGGUGUUGGCCUAUGAAUUGCAUAUACACAUAUUGUUAUUUGGAACGACAUUAUUUACACGCACAUAUAGGGAAGGUUUCUGUGAAGCUGUGUCGAAAAACACCUCUUAUCAGAGGCUGUCUCUGCCAAUGUGUUUGAUAAUAUGUGUUAUUGGUCAUACUUGUUAAAUUUCUAAUAUCUUUGGUUAACUGUCAGCAACUCGUUACACCUGAUAUCUUACAAAAACUCCUGCACAAAAUGGUGAGUGACCGUUUGAGUAAUUGAACCUCAUCCUCUUAUUACCCAUUGCCCUUUGACUUUGAACCAUAUAUCAUUUGUUCUCCUCAGGUUCUUCCGAAUGAUAUUGAUUAAGCUUGGGACAAAAACACAUAACUAAAGUCUCUACUCCAAGUACCUACUUGUUCUGUGGUAAUGUAUAACCACUGAUAUUCUACACAUAUUGUUUGAUCCGUUGUCACGUCCUUUGUUUUUUGCCUUCUCUUCUUUUAACUCUAAUCAACUGUUGCAGGUUGUGAAAUGUCAAUGCUUCUUCAAUACGCAAGUAACAAGAACUUGGUCUAUAUUCUUGUUUGUAUAGGUAUUCUUUUGAUAAUUAACUAUUAGUUACUGAUUUAAUAAGGUACUAGCUACUAAUAACUUCUUUACAAAUCUUACAGGGCUACGGAUUUUGGUCGUGCACAAUCGCUUGUUCUAUGCUCCAGCUGCCAACAAGAGACAUGUACACCAUCACCUAUGAGAUCGAAGCUUACAGAAGGGCUGCUGCUCCUUUAGGGUUAAAAAAGAAUGCUAAGAUGAUCGUUUGCCUGAUAUUUAGCUAUAGUUAGUUGAACUACCAAGGUGACAUAUAUAUAAGUACUUAAAGGAUGUGUUAGUCAACAGAUAAGUUUUCCGUUUACUCAGCUUCUUUUUGUGAAAACAUUCGUACUAUGAAUAAUUUGGCUGUCGUAUUAGUCUACUGCAAUUUGAAGCGAUUAAUCUUCUUAGCUUUCGAUUUUAUUCUUGUGAAAAGAAUAGUCCAUAUAUGGGCGUCAACUUCUUUGGUCAUUCAUAUAUAUAAUGCUGGGGGAUAGGGCUUUCCGUUGACUCUCAAUACAACAACAAAUCCGGGGUCUGGGAAGUGAUAAUGGGUACGCAAACCUUACCCCUACCCGGAGGAGCAGACUCUGAAUAGCGUUGUGAUUGCACUAAGCAAAUCCAAGCGUGAUGUUUUCUAUGGAUGUUAACUGGUACAGAGAAAAAUAGAGUAAUUAUUUGUUAUAGCUAGUUAAGUUGCAUUUAUAGUGUAAAAUUUCUUUCAUAUUGUCACUACAUAUAGAUUAAAUCCUUGAUAUGCAUGCUAGAAAAGUUGGGAGAAAAGGGAAGAUAAACACCAUUAUACUUAGUGGACUAGAAAGGUAAGAACAAGACUGUAUUUCUUAAAAAGAAGGCAUUGCCUCCAACACCAUUAAUAGCAAAGCAACAAACUCAACAAGGACAUUGGUUGAACAGUAGUUUAAUCAAAAGCUAAAAGACUAAUAAUAGCAAAGCAACAAACUCAAAAGCCAGGCUGAUCCAUGAUAUGAUGGAGAAGUAAUAUGAAAAUACAAGAAGAAAAAGGUAAAAAUCUGGAAGAAAGGCGUUGCCUUCCCUUUGCCGCUAUGACUUGCCUGUUAACCCUUGGUAUCCGAUUCACAUCAGAUGCACCAAAGGGUGUGACCUAGUGUUCACAUAAAAGUUGUAGAGAUCGCCAUUUCCAUCCUCGAGUACUCCAUCAAAAUCCUUCUUUUUCUUCUUUCUCCACAUCUUCUUAUGCUUCAUAGCCUUAUAGUGCAACUAAUUAUAGGAGCUGAGUUUCUGUUUUCUCUUGUCUCUACAUGUCCUAUUAUAUAGGAGUAACAAUCUUGAAAGCCAAGAAUUUGUCCACCAUAUUAUCUGUAGACUAUAGCCAAGGGCUAGAAACAUAAAGAAAUGGUAAAUUUUUAUGGUCCCCCUCGUAGCUAUAUUCUUUUUGUAUUAGGCCAUCCUGCUUAUCCACCACACCACUAAGAAUAUUUAUAUUCUUUCUUUCAAAAGAUUUAAAUUAAUACAACAACAACGAAGGAUGAAAUGGAGACUCAUUUCCGGUAUUUCGUGCGAUAAGAAGGUCCCACCGAAACUUAAAGGUAAGUUCUACAAAGUGUUGGUCAGACCGACUAUGUUGUAUGUGAGUGAGUAUUGGCCAGUCAAAAUCGCUCAUGUCUAGAAGAUGAAGGUAACAAAGACGAUGAUGUUGAGAUGGAUGUACGGGAAUAUCAGGUUAGAUAGGAUUAGGAAUGAGGUUAUUUGCGAUAAGGUAGGUGUGGCCCCUAUUGAGGACAAAAUGCGGGAAACGAGUCUUAGGUGGUUUGGACAUGUGAGGAGGAGCACAACGCCCCGAUAAGGAGGUGUGAGAGGUUAUUGGAGGGCCUACCGAGAGUUAGAGGUAGGCCGAAUAAAAAGUGGGGAUAGGUGAUUAGGCAAGACAUGGCGCAACUUCAGCUGGCUGAGGACAUGACCCUUUGAUAGGAACGUGAAAAGGUCGAGGAUUAGGGUAGUAUGGUAGGCGGUCUAGAUUGUUCAUACCGGUAGUAUUGGUACGCACUCUCGCAUUCUGUUGGUAGUAGUUUUUUAUGACUAACCGUUGUUUUCUUUCAUUGUUGGUCAUCUUAUUAUCUUGUUUGUUUUUAUUCUGCUUUUAUAUGGCUUUUUGGUGGUCCCUUCUUGUCUAUAUUUUUAUUAAAUUGGUGCUUAUACUUUCAUGAGUCGAGAGUUUAUUGGAAACAAUAUCUCUAUUCUUAUAAGGUAGGGGUAAGAUCUGCGUACACGCUACCCUCUUCAAACCCCACAAUGUGAAUAAUACUAGGUAUGUUGUUAUUGUUAUUGUACAACAACGAUUAUGUCACAAUUCCAAAUAAGUUGAAGUCAACUAUUCAACUUUUUGGUGUUAUGUCGCUCUAUUUAAGUUCAUCUCAAUCCGAUAAUAGAUUUAGAUUAAUAAAGGCGAGGAAAUCUAUGCACUCUCCAUGUGGAGAAAAGCAAAAAAAGAAAAGGAUAAACAAAUUGAUUCCGGGGGAAUAGAGAAGAGGUAAAGUUAACUGACAAGUGGAAUGCGUUUCAUCAUAAGAUGCAACUCAGAUGGAUAAGUAAGUGGAAAGUGUUGGGUUAAAACUUAAAAAGCAUUUAACGAAGGCCAUUAAACAUUAAAAAAAAUAAGUAAAGGAUGCUAAAAGAAGAAACAGAGGACCCUCCAACCUACUAAAAGUGGAAUAUGAUGCAGAUUGGCUUUCUCUUAAUAGAGUACAAUUACUUUGCAUCGUUCGUUUUUAAUACUCAUUAAAAAAUUUCAAAUGGUUCUAAGGAAUCUUGUGGAAGCUGAAAGCCACUAAUCCAUUAAGUGGGGAGGAGGCAUUAUCCCAGCAAAAAAGGAUCUAAAUGUGGAAAGUGUACAAUAUUUGUCAUUUUCCAUUAUAUUCCUUUUGAAAGUGGAAUUCUUGGACCACUGGUAGCAUUUAGUUGAACUAGUAAUUUUUUAUUAAGAUAUUAUAGUACACAUUAAAAGAUUUAUUAAAUAUGUACAAAUAUUAAAUUUCGAACUCAACAACUCAAAUAGUCCUUGAGUUUAGCGGCAUUUCGUACCAUAAAUUUCAAAUAUUUGCUUCCUCUUGUUUGAAUUAAGUUCACGUAACUAUUUUGAUUACUGCCUUUGGACAAAUACUUCAAAUUACCAUCGACAAUGACAUUGUGGUUAUUAUUCUAGUUGCUUUGGUUUCAGAGGCAAGAAAAUGAUACUUGACUACGACUAAAUAAUUGGUAAUGGUCAAGAUCUACAAAUCCGCGAAACAACUAUGAGAACAUGACAACAUGUUACCUUUUCAAAUGAAUUACUACAAGUUUCAAUUAUUAUGCACUUAAAGCAAAAGAACAAACCGAAUAAUAUGACUCCUUUCUAUCUUUGAUUUUUCUUCCAUAAUCGCUAGCAGUACAGUCUCCGUUAAAAAUUAAGACAUUAUCGAUAUUGACCUUAAAUGUCGGAGGUGUGCUAAUAUUGACAAGGUAAUAAGCUACUGAAUCAUCAUAUGACAAGUUGCUGCAUUAGCAAGUAAUAAGCACCUGCGUCAGAUAUAGUUGAUACUUUCGUUAUCGGUAGCCAAAAUAAUACUGUAUCCGUAGAUCUCGAGCAAAUUCUAUCUUUGCUCUAUUAUCCAACUAUUAUGUGCUCGUUUUCUCUCUUUUAACCAAAUCUUCUUUGCCAAGUAUGUCGGAAUAGUAAAGGAAAAAUUGUAAAACAAAUAUUAUAAAUAGAAACUUUUACACUUACAAAAGAAAGCCUCGGUGGACGUGCCGGAGUGGUUAUCGGGCAUGACUAGAAAUCAUGUGGGCUCUGCCCGCGCAGGUUCGAAUCCUGCCGUCCACGUUUUUUUCUUUUUUAUUCUUUUCCUUCCCAAUUACCAUUCUUUGUGCCAGCAUUCCCAUUCCACAAAGAACUGCCACUUUGCUAGUUAUGGUUUUGGUUUCCACAAUGAACAACAACAACUCCUAUGGUUCAAAUAAGGUACAAACAAUCAUCGUUGUUGAUAUUUACACUAAAGCAACAAUGCAAGACCAUUUCACAAAUUCAACAAGUCCAUGCUCAAGCCAUUACCAAUGACCACCUCUCUUCUUUUCACUCUACUCUUAUCCUCACUCAAAUCCUUCAUUCUUUCACUUCCCUUCUCUCUUCUCUUCCUUUACAACCCAACACACAUCACUAUGCCACUCGUUAUUUCACCUCCAUUUUCAGCCGCAUUGAAAACCCAUCAACUUUCUGUUACAAUACUAUCAUUCGAGCCCACACCCUUCUCUUUUCCCCAAAUACCUCUUUUUUAUAUUUCCUCAAAAUGCACCGAAAUUCGGUCCCACCAGAUUCCCAUACUUUCCCUUUUGUUCUCAAAGCUUGUGCUUUACUGAAUUCUCUGUCCCUAGGCAAGACCCUUCAUUCUCAAGCCUUGAAAUUUGGGUUUUUAGCUGACGUUUUCGUGUGUAAUAAUCUUGUUCGUGUGUAUACCGUCAGUGGUAAUACUAGUGACGCCCAUAAGGUGUUUGAUGAAAGUUGUUGUAGAGAUGUUGUUACUUAUAAUUUAAUCAUUGAUGGGUAUGUUAAAGCGGGUGAGAUGGACAAAGCGAGGGUAGUGUUCGACGAAAUGCCUGAAAGAGAUGCAGUUUCUUGGGGCACCCUUUUGGCUGGAUAUGCAAAAUUGAACCAGUGUAAAGAGGCUAUUGAGCUGUUCGAUCAAAUGGUUUCGCUAAAUGUAAAAUUUGAUAACGUUGCGUUGGUUUCUGUUCUCUCAGCUUGUGCACAACUGGGGGAACUAGAAAAGGGAAAGACCAUACAUGAUUAUAUUAAAAAGAAGGGGAUUCACAUAGAUUCAUAUUUGUGUACUGGAUUGGUAGAUCUAUAUGCCAAAUGCGGCUGCAUUGAGAUUGCUAGGGAGAUAUUUGAGACAAGUUGGGAGAAGAAAAUGUUUACAUGGAAUGCUAUGCUAGUUGGAUUAGCCAUGCAUGGUCAUGGCCAGUUAUUGUUUGAUUACUUCUCAAGAAUGGUGGAAGGUGGUGUUAGGCCUGAUGGGGUAACGUUUUUGGCACUGUUGGUAGGAUGUAAUCAUGCAGGUCUUGUUCAGGAAGCUAGAAGGUUCUUUGGAGAAAUGGAAGAGGUUUAUGGUGUUCGUCGAGAACUAAAACAUUAUGGGUGUAUGGCGGAUUUGCUGGCACGUGCAGGGUUGAUUAAAGAAGCUAUGGAGAUGAUAGAGGCAAUGCCAAUGGCUGGUGAUGUGUUUGUGUGGGGUGGUUUGCUUGGUGGGUGUAGGAUACAUGGGCACGUUGAGCUUGCUGUUAAAGCUGCUGAAAAUGUGAUGGAGGUGAAACCGGAAGAUGGUGGGGUUUAUUCAAUCUUGGCAAAUGUGUUUGCAGAUGCUGGCCGUUGGGAUGACUUGGUCAAUGUAAGGAGAAGAAGAGAUUGUGCACAGAUCAAGAAGAGUGCUGGUUGUAGUUUGAUUCAGUUGAAUGGGAUGAUACAUGAAUUUAUUUCAUGGGAUGACUUGCAUCCUCAAAGCAACGAGAUAUAUUCUGUCUUAAAUUGUCUGCAACUCAAUUUGAAGCAUUCUAUAGCCAGUAGAUUUUGAUGAACUAACAAUACAUUCUUUUCACUGAUACUACUAUACUACUGUCAUUUGACUAGUAAAAUAGUUCUUAAAGUAACAUCUCAACUGUGUUUUUUUUUCCUUGACUACACAAACUUCGUCUGUUAUAAACAAUUCUUACAUAGCAUUUCUCUUCCAAGAGCUACUGAAGGCAAUACCGCUGGGUUAUGCUUUAUUGCAUAAUUGUAUGAAUAAUUUGUAUUCAUCCUUCCCCCUCAGCCUAACGCAUAGUGACACAAAUUCUCUUCGAGCAAAUGAGCAGCCAUUACCAAGCCAUCAUACUAGUUUACUCCCACCUGCCAAAGAAACAAUGAACUGCAAUUGCCAUUAGCAUAAAACCUUUAGUAAUAAUGAAAAAACAGAUAAUUGGAUCCAGUUUACUACUUCUCUUCAAAGUAACUUUUAUGUUCUUUUAGUUAGUCAAUACUUCACACAAAAGCUCAUAAUCAGCAAAAUUGCAAAAUAUAAUAUGCAAACUGAUUGUGGCCAUUUCAGGAAGUAAAAUCUAAUUACCCGCGACAUCGUUCAAGAGAUAUUUCAGCUUAAAAGAAGAUUAAACACGUCUCUCAAUGUGAUUAUGCCUUUUACAUGCCGGGUAUUGGGAUCAAUGACCACAAUGCGCCUUGUGACUGAAACAAAAAGAGAGGGCACUCAAAUUACAAGAUAAUGAGGUCACAAAGAGAAGAAAAAGAAAAAAAAGAGGUACAAACUUGGAUCUGAAAGGAGCUCCAUUAUCUUAUACAAUGAAUCAAAACGUGUGCAUGUCCUACAACGAUCACAAGAUGCUUCAUCUAAGACCUCCAGGACCUGUGCUCAAAAAUUAGUGCAUUAUAUGCAGAAAAAGUAGAAAAAACCUUAGGUAACAACAGGAUUACAACUUCAACAAAUUACACGCUACGGGGAUUUAUGCACACAGUGAUAGAAUGCCCUCAUGCCCUAAAAGGUUCAUCAACAAUGCCAGACUGUUUACCAAAAAGAUUUCUCAGUACUUUUACCCAUAAUAUCUCGAGUUAAUCAAGAUGAAAGCGUUCCAAGAAGAGAGCAAAAACUAAAUGGUAACUAAUAAGUUUAAGCAGCUUCAUAUGACCAUACAAGUAUGACGCUCCAUUUAAGCCUUCACAGAGUAAUUUUGUAUGCCAAAAACUAACUAGUCGAGAAAAAUGUUUUAAAAGACAAAUUCACCAACUUUUGUAGCCCAUAGAGUUCUUUUGCAUACUAGCACCUUGCUUAUAUUAGCAAGCAUGAUAAUCUUGAGGAGACGAGGGACGGUGGUUUGAAAUGCACUUACUUGAGCCAUUAUCAUCUGGUCAAGCCGAAAGCGAGCAUACACAUUGCUUCUCGCCAAAGAGGUAACAUCACUAUGUAAAGACAGCAAAAUCUCAAGUUUGUAAGGCUUAAAAUAACAAAGCAACUUCAAUGAUGCUGAAAAUGAAAAAUUUCAAGCAUUUACCAUCAGAAGCGCAUGAAUUACCUCCGAGAGUACACAUUUAUAAGGGCUCCAUUAUCAUCAAGGAUAGGUAUUGAACUUAUCUGACCUGUCAGAGCAAGAGAAAGACGUGCUUAGUACACGUCUUAGUUAAACAAUUUUGUUCUACUCAUAUAAUAUUGUGAACCUUCUAUUAGUAAUUUAAGAGCAGAACUAAGGGGAUCUCUGCUGUAUAAUGUUAACAAAUCACGGCUGCUUGCCCUUCCACCAACUUCUCUUGCCCAUGUACCUAAUGGAAGAUUACCCACUGGUUGCUGCAGAAGAGGCAGAUACUCAAGAGAGUGCCUAAAAUGCCUGCAUAUGUCUAAGAUUUUCCAAGGAAGAGAAAUAAAACCAAACAUAAGCCUUUGCAAAAAACAUUAUGAGGAAAAAAACUGCAGAAUUGGAAAGCAAAUUAUAGAGAAAACGCACGCUUUGAUAUUCCUGCAAGGCAUGCAGUAUGCAACAACUGCACACAUGACUCGUCUUCUGGUGAAUGUAAAAGUGGAACUGCAGAGAUCUUAUUGUGUAAUAAUAAUAGGGCCACAUCUUUCAGUGAGUCAUCAGGUCCAGCCUGUGAUUGAAGAGAAAAUAGGAGGAAUGAAUAGAAAGAAUAAGAUUCUAGAUAAAAGCUACUCUGAGAGAAAAGAAAGAAAAAUUUCUCAUGGUUAGAUAACCUGCAAAUACGUAAUNNNNNNNNNNNNNNNNNNNNNNNNNNNNNNNNNNNNNNNNNNNNNNNNNNNNNNNNNNNNNNNNNNNNNNNNNNNNNNNNNNNNNNNNNNNNNNNNNNNNNNNNNNNNNNNNNNNNNNNNNNNNNNNNNNNNNNNNNNNNNNNNNNNNNNNNNNNNNNNNNNNNNNNNNNNNNNNNNNNNNNNNNNNNNNNNNNNNNNNNNNNNNNNNNNNNNNNNNNNNNNNNNNNNNNNNNNNNNNNNNNNNNNNNNNNNNNNNNNNNNNNNNNNNNNNNNNNNNNNNNNNNNNNNNNNNNNNNNNNNNNNNNNNNNNNNNNNNNNNNNNNNNNNNNNNNNNNNNNNNNNNNNNNNNNNNNNNNNNNNNNNNNNNNNNNNNNNNNNNNNNNNNNNNNNNNNNNNNNNNNNNNNNNNNNNNNNNNNNNNNNNNNNNNNNNNNNNNNNNNNNNNNNNNNNNNNNNNNNNNNNNNNNNNNNNNNNNNNNNNNNNNNNNNNNNNNNNNNNNNNNNNNNNNNNNNNNNNNNNNNNNNNNNNNNNNNNNNNNNNNNNNNNNNNNNNNNNNNNNNNNNNNNNNNNNNNNNNNNNNNNNNNNNNNNNNNNNNNNNNNNNNNNNNNNNNNNNNNNNNNNNNNNNNNNNNNNNNNNNNNNNNNNNNNNNNNNNNNNNNNNNNNNNNNNNNNNNNNNNNNNNCCGCCCCCCCCCCCCCCCCCCCCCACAAACCCCAACCCCAAGCCAAAAAAAGAAAACCCGUACCUCCAGGGAGAGACAUGUCAAACAAAAGCAAAAACCAUGUUAUUCCAUAUAACAAUUAGAAGAGCCAAGAAUAGUUUGUGAAUACUCCACUAAGCAUAAAAUUACAUACUUGCAGUAACACCCUUCUGUUUGGAGGUAUCAUAGGCCCUGACACUUCUGCAUGCAGUUGGAAUUUUUCGUAUUUCCAAGCUGAAACAGUGUGCCUUUCAAGCUCAUCGUUGCUCAGCAUUGAAUGACUUCCAUGGAGCUGCAAAAAGUAGUUUACCUUGGGCAUGAUAUAUAGGAAUGAAGCAUAGAUGAAACAUGACGACAAUGCACUAGUUAUAUACAAAUCUAAUAGUAGUAAUAAAAUUUAUCAUUAAUGAUCAAAAGACAGCCUCGAAGGCAUCCAAUAGGAGAAUUCAACCGCAUAAAAAUAUACAUAGUAGAUGGAAUUCAGAAGAAAGGCACUAUCUUCUUGUGAUUAAACCUUACUAUAUCAAUUCUCCCCAUAAAAUACAAUGCAAGGAACAUUCAUCUGCAGGUUUAUGAUCCUCAAUUGAACAUAGAAAAGUCACUUAUUUCAAAUAUAAAUGAAAAAUCGCUCAAACGACAUAGGAUUCACUCUUCACUAUUUGCUGCAUUAGAAAGACCAAAUGCUUUGACAUAAGGUGGACGGGGGUAUUCCUCCAUGGACAAGCAACUUAUUAGCCAUAUAGAAAUGGAGUUUCUGAGUUAUUACUAAAAACAUGGAUUUUGAUUAUUAAGAUAAUGAGAAACCAAGCCAGAAAAUCUUCCUCAAGAAAAUAUUAUUCUCCAGCUCAUUUUCAGCACUUAAAUUCAAAGCUAAAAAAGGUUCAAAACUCAGUGGACAAUGGACCCGUCCCUCUACCCUUCUCCACUUAAAGACCAGGCUUUUGUCUACCGCAACAUUCAAACUGGUGACAUGUGCCUAACUCACACAUCUUGUGCUCCACUCUAACUAUUAUAUCAAAGCCCUAGGGCCUCAAAAAUAUUUGGAAAAAUAAAAAAUUUAAAACCAGUUGCCAGUUGUGCUUAACAACUACUAAAUAGUACCUUCAACAAUAUCAAAAUGAAAUCAGAAGCAGUAAGCAUUCCCGAUAUCUUUGCAUUCCGCUCAUCCCAAAGAGGCAUCACAGCAAGUCCCUAAACAUAUGCUCAACUAGUGAACUUCAAAAUAUAUUCCAAGCAUAAAACAAAAAUCAACAUGUAAAUUGAAUGGAGAAAAAUAGUGUACAACAAAACAUUAAAGACAUAGUAAGAUUGCAUGAACUAUUACCGGAAACUAGAAUUUUUCAACCAUCACAGUUGCAUUGAUGCCCAACCUAUAUCCAGGGAAGAGCCAUACUUUUGGCAGGAUUCACCUGCACUGAAUAAUGUUUUUCCUAUCCUAUGUUUUCUUCAAUGAAACCAACCCAAGAAAUAGAUUUUCUAAAGCACUGCAGAUUAAAGGAAAGACACUCUCUUCCCCAUCACAGAGAAAGUUGACAAAUUAAUAUUACACAGCUAUAUUCCACAACCUAAAAUAUAGGAACAUCUGAAACAUAAAUGGAUAAGGUGCCAUACUAUAGAUCUUCCUACCCUGUACACGAAGAAGGUCUCCACAAGUCACUUUUUGGAAUAGGCCAUAUAAGCAAGAAUCCAAAGGGUAAAACAAAGUGGUUUCAUGUAAUAGAAACAACUAUGCUUCUUUCGCAAACUAGUCGGGUCGUCUAUAUUAAUUCUCAAUAUCCAUUAUGUUCUGUUUGGACCCAUUCCCAAUACUCAAUAAUUUAUCAUUUAAGGAAAACUAGUGUUCACUAGCUGAAGAGGUUCUCUGUAUUUUCUAUUACAUACAAAUCUCUAAAAACUAAAAGGACUCGUGGAAAACACCAAACAAUAGUGUAAAUGUGGAAACACGACAAAGUCUUAACCCCAACUAGUCUAUAUAGAGUAUAUGGAUCUUCUUAUUUCCAUAAUGUUAUGUUCUUCACCAAGUCCACAUAGAUUCUGGAAAAUUGAAUGACUUUGAGACAAUAUCCCUCCAUGUAAUUCUAGGUCAAUUUUAUAUGUCCCAACAGUCAGGUUUGGUCCUUCAGGCAGCAACUCCCGCUGGUAUACAAUCCACAAAGGAAAUUGGGCUACGAGGUGAGUAACUAUAUCCGACUAUUAUUUGCCGAUCCAUGCAAUUCAAUAACAAAUAACAAAGCAAAAUGAUAGAUUCAUCUCAGAUGGCAAACCAUUCCGAAAUCAAGAAUAAACUAGUCUUAAUAAAGUGCAGACAUUUUGGUUGUAGAUUUAUUAAUCAAGUCCAUAAUUGAAAUGUAUAAUUUGGAUAUUUACUCGAGUUAACUCAUAUGCAAAUCUCCAAGACAAAUUACAACUUCCAGAAUUUGCUUGAGCACUUAUUAGCUACAACCUUGAGCUUGAGGACAAAGGUGUCUGUGACACCCAAGAGGAACCAAGAAGAUGGUCAAUAGUGUGCAUAGAAAACCGAACCUGUUCAUACAUGAUAUGAAAAGCCUGUUUAACAGCCACUUCAGAAUCUAAUGCAAAGACCUAUGAAGAAUCACCAGAUAGGUAGUCAGUAAAUUUAAAUAGAGAUAUUAUUAAGUAAUGGCACAAUACAAGGGGAAAGCAUAGAUAAAGACUUCCAAACCUUUCCUGAAUUUGGAAUCAGCCCAUCUGCUCGGGAAGAUGACAACAACAUGAAUAGACGACGGCGGGAAACAUCUAUUUCAUUGGCUGACAACUGCAUGACUGGUUCAAGCUGUAGUCCACGUGAAGAUGAAGCCUGGUUGGUAUGACAAAGAAAUUAUACGGAAUUAAAAUGUUAAGGAAAGUGGUUGGAUGAAAUCAUUAUGAGUCGUUGUCAGAAUGAGGGACGGAAAAGGAAACUGAGGUAUGGUCUUUAACCAUAUCAAGUAAGAAAUUCUUUUCUGGUCAGCACUGACCUCAAGAUGCAUGCUUCUAGCAAAACCCGAGACCAACUUCGACUGAGUAUCCUCUCUUAGUAAGGCAGAAGGUGUGGAAUCUGAUUCCUUAACAAAUAUUAAGUUAUUGAUUGCACCAUAUUCAUCCUGAACACAAAGCUGUUCCUGGUCGACUUGCCAGGUUCCAUCAAUCAAGAAUUUGUACUGCAUAGUUCAUUUGGAGCCAGUAAAUUCAACUCCAUACAAAAUGUGCACUUUCCUUUAUUUUAAGCAGGUGUUACUGUGCAUGUGUAACAUAUCAGUAACAGCUAUAAUAUGUAAAACUUUACGAUACUCCAUAUCUUGUGAAGAGGUAACAUUUGCUAAUGGUUAACUUGUUAAGAAAGCAAGGAUGUUCCUGAAAAUCAAAUUAUUUACCAGAAUAGCCAUAUUAGACACAAAAUAGGAUCAGUUUACACAACAGCCAAAGCAUCAAAAGCGAAAAAUACCGUAAUCCUAGGGAACUAGACACGAAAAAUCAUUAUCAAGAGAAAAACAUGUGCCUGUACAGUAAUACUAAAUCUGGGAAAUAUAUUUACAUGCCUAAGUAUUUGCAGAUACUUAGACGCUAAUAAGCAUAUCGAUGCAUCUUCUUAGAGGCAGUUAAAGUGCAGAAACACAAAAAGUGUACAGGGACUUAGACGGUAAGAUGGAUCACAGUGAGCAAUAGCAUAUCUCCCGGAGUAUUCCCUCAAUCUCAAUUUAGUUAACUAACUUUGAGUUAUAAUCCCUCCAAUUCAUAUGACCAACCCAGGUUAUCUAUUUCUUUACUUUAUCAAAACUUCUAGCUCUGUGAACUUGGUAAGACCCUUGCAGAUAUUCUGUAUGAAAAAGAUGAAACUAUUUUUCGCAUACAGCACCUAAGACAAAAUUGACAUCGAGCAGCCUUUUCUUUUGAUUUUAGGUCUACUUGGUACAAAUUCAUUAGCUCGUUACACAAUCAUCACAUAGAAUCUAGGGAAUACCUGAUGAUAACCUGGUGGAAGAUCAAUGAUCCUCUGAAAAACGGCGGCCGAACCCUCCACCAAAUUCAUCAGUAGCUGAUCAGUCCAGCUGCACCACCCGAAAUCACAGGCACUUAGGCCAUAUAAAAAGCAUGUAACAUGCACUUUGUUGAAUCAUAAAAUAAGGGGUUUAAAAAAAAAAAGAGUAGUUGUUAAUGAGAAAUUAAAAGUACCCAUUGAAGGAACCAUAGAGGAAAACUUGACUACCACCAUAUCGCCAUGUAAAAGUUAUUAGUACCAUUUCCUCUUCAGACCCAAAACUUCCCUUUUGUAAUUUCGUAUAUAUACAUGGUUUUACGGAAAGACACAAUCAGCAAAUCAGACAGAAAAAAUCAGUGGAAAUUCCAGAGAAAAGAGGGGAAAUGGGCAAGCAAAGAGCAUCGGUAUACCCGAAUGACAAGAAGCCAGCGAAGAGCGGAAAUUAUAUUUAAAGAAAAAUGACUAGAGUAAGCAAAGAGUGGAAAAUGAAAAUGUAACAAUGUAUACGACAUGGAAAUACUACUAUGAUGUUUGUGUAUUUAAUAUUUGAAAUAGUUGCAGAGGCUUUCUAUUGGUUUCUAUUUCUUUUCCUUUUUCAACGUUUUUUACGUUUUGUCAUUUAGGUUGUUUGGCUUUAUAUAGCAAGAAUGACAUUUGCAUUUAGUUUCUCUUUCAUAUUUCCUGUGUUUGUCUUUUGAGGUGUAUGGUCUCCAGAAAUAAGUCAUAAUUAAUUUUAAAAUUAAAUUUGAUAUAAAUUUAUCUUACGUUUGAUUAGGAUAAAAUUAUAAUAUAACUAUUGAGAUUGUAGUAUUAUUUUUAUCCUUAUGGGAAGGUGGGAUAACUGAUUUCCCAAUCAAACGACCCUAAGAUGGUGUGUGAAAAUUAUGUUCAGUCUUGAUGAAAUAUAUUUCCUAUGAACUUCAAACAUAGAUGUCUAUUUGUUUCUAUAUGAUAUAUAAGUAUAAUAUACUCCAUUAUUCUUACUUUUCCACAAAUCAGAUACUAUGUGUUCGAGUUUACAGAACGGAUAAAAGUGAUUGUCUUAACUGUCUCUACCUCAAACAAGUCGCUAAAAGAAAGACUAGUUUGUCACAUAACAUAUAACCACUAAUAUUUAGGAGUUCUAAUUUUAAUGCAUUAACAAUGUGUUUAUCCGAAAAACGGAUAGAGUUAAAUUUAUACGUAGUUUUAAGGAUACGCGGUAUAACUCGACACAAAUUAAAAAAAUAAGUAGGGAUAUAUUGAAUAUUGACUGUAAAAAGGAAUGAAUACAAACCCUAAUUGAGUAGAGAAUGAUUGAUAAAUGAACAAGAUGAAUCAAUAUCAAAAGCCCAAAAAAGGAUAAUAUUUGCUAUGUGUUAUGUAAAUCUCUAUAAUCUCUGAAUGUGAGAAUGUGUGAAUGUAUAUCAAUCUCCUCUUUUACAAAUGUUAGUCACUCCUAAUAUAGUGGAGGAAUCCUACUUUGGAUAUAAUUAAAAAUAUAUAGUGGGGAUCCCAUGAUAGAUUAAUUAAUUGACUUUUUCUUGAUUCAAGCCGUGAUUUCAGCCGAGAUUUUCUCCCCAAAUGCGGCUAUAACGGCUUUGUUGUUCCUUGGCUCGGUCUCGAUCUUGGUCGGUCUCUGGGUCUCGAGCUCGAUCUUGACUUGAUCUCGGUAUUUGAUCGGUCUCUGGAUCUCAAGCUCGACCUUGACUCGAUCUCGAUAUUUGAUCGGUCUUUGGGUCUCGAGCUCGACCUUCCAACUUCACAUCACAGCUCGAUAUUAUAAUGACGAACCUCGGUCCGUCAUGCUCCAAUCUGGAUUAGUCGUACGAAAGGCAAACUCGGUUUUGACUGUAUACAGAUAGUCCCCUCGUUUCUCGGAAAGAAGGUGGCGAGAAACGAUAUGAUAUUUCAACCUCUGACUAGAUACAUACUGACGUCUACGACGAGCCCGAUUGUGACGUAUGUGACAAAUGUCACGUCGGUCCAGUUACUAAGGCAUUAAAUGUGCGUCAGUCGAUGGUCGGCCAAUGUCAAUUUUGAAUCGUCACUGUGAAAUUUAUAAAUAGCCCUCUUAUUCAUUAUUUCAAACUUUUACCUUCAAAUCUCUUUCCAUUCCAAUCUUCAAAGUUCUUCGCCUUCCCCAAAGCUCUCUAUUUUCAAGUUUUGCAAUUUUUUCGCUUGUUCUUCUCAAAACACCAAAUACUUCACUCUUCCUUCUUUUUUGUUCAUAAAAAUUUAGAUGGCAAAAAUAUCUAAAAUUAUUCCGCAGAAAGAGGUUGCUUCCUCAUCUCGGCCGGCCGGCGAGAAAUAGUGGUGGAGCCACGCCUUGAAGAGCUUUUUCCCGGGGGGUGCGUUAUUGAUUCUAAUUUUAAGGUCGAGAAACCCUCGUCGGUUACUGGUCGAUGCGAGCCAGUAUCGAGAUAUAUAUGCUCGAUACCAAAAAGCCUUCUUGACCUGGUGAAAAAAGACUGUCAUUGGGAAAAUAAAGAGGUUGUGAUACCGGCACCGGAGGAGGCGAUCACUACCCACGUGGAAGGGUACCUGAGUGUUUACACUUAUCCUUUCACGCUGGGUCCCCUCGAUUCAGUCACCGUCGAUUUUUGCAAGAAAUACCAGGUGACCCUCCGUCAAAUUCACCCUUCUUACUGGAGGAUUGUGAUACUGCUUCGUUUUUUUAUGAGAAAAUCGAUGAGCUUCCCUUCACCUGCGACCACCUCGUAAGAUUAUAUAACCCUUGACUUUACCGAGGUGGGCUGAUAAAGCUUCAAUGCCGGGCCACCAAGGCGUUCGCCUCGAGCAUAGAUGAAGACAAAGAUCGAUGUUGGAUGGGCCGGUUCGUUCGAGUGAAGAUCUCAGACCUAAUCCCGGCUGAGAGUAUGCCAUUUUCCGAGAAAUGGAAUAUGAACCGUAAGUGUGAUCCCGUUUUUAAGUUUUGUUGUUUUACUUCUUCAUCCUUCAUUAUCAAUAUUUUUCUUGACGCAACCGUUUCUUGGAUGCCGGGUGCGGUUCCCUAUCUCGAGAACUAGGUCAGGAGCCUGGUUUCGACGUCAACAUACGCCGAGCGCACAUGGCGAGAUUUGUCAAAGGGCAGGUGGGAGGCUCGUACUCAUGGUAAACCUUCUUCUUGGCUCAUCGAUUUUCUUACUGUUCAAGCAUUUUUUUCAGGCAUAAGUUUUACUUACUUUUCUUUCUUUGUAGGUCUCGAAAAAGAUGCGGUUAUGAGACCCCCAUUAGGUGAUGAAGAAGCUUUACCGCCUAUCUCAAAACCGGAGAAGGUGAUUAAGAGAAAAAAGGCCUCGGACUCCGAGGGUCAAAAACCCAAGAAGAGAGCAGCUCGUAAACCCAAGGUGAACAUAAUCCCUUUGAAUAUGGAAUCGGUCCUGAGUCUAAGGGAUGAAGAAGAAGAAGAAAGUGAUUUCGGGCUGGUGGCCCUGCACGGUCUGGCCUCGAUAUUCAAAAUACUUCGGUAUCGGUGGGAGUUGAUACUGCUCCGUCCAGGCUUGAUGAGGUCGAGGAGGAGACUUUGACCCAAGUUCCCAAGCCGAGGGGGACCGAGGAUAUUUUACCUCGAGGCAAAGAGACCGUCGAAGAAACUGUGGAUGCCGGUGUGCAAACCGAGCUUGAGGCUCCCCAAGACGGAGGCGACGCCCAAAAAUACCUACUCGGGACAAUAGAGAUUGGGAAUUCCCCCUCUUUCCCUUCAUUUUCCCAGUCGAUGAUACAUGAUGCUCAAGCUGUGGAGACUUGUCACGGAGAAGGAGCCCAUAGAGAGGAGGACCCUUUCCGUGGUUAUUUUAUCGGGGUAGAAGAUGUCACCGGUCCGAGUGACUUGGAGGCUCCGAAGAAGAGCUCGAGCGAGGUAGGAGUGCCUUGCCUUUUCAACAAAGCCCAACAGGCCCUGAAUCGGGUAAGUUCAUACUUUCUUUGCCAAUUUUCAUACUUGUGUUUUCUUUCCUUGUAUAAUCCCUUCUUUUUAUUUUUGUAGGCUUUUGUGUUUCAUCACGAGGCAUUUUUCCAAUCCCGAAGGGAGCUGAGCCAGUACGAAGCUGAAGUUCGAAGGCUUACUGAGGAGAGAGAUGCCUUCAAGCUUCUCAGUGAGUAGAGAGAAAGAGAAGUAAAAGGACUCCGGGCUGAGCUAGAAGCAUCUCGAAAAGAACAAGCUGAGCUGGCCUUCGCAGGUAAAAAGAAUCUUUGAAUUUAAUGAUAUUGACUCAAGAGUGAUGGCUAACAGUUCGGUCCCGCAGGUCGAGCAAAAGUUCGAUGUGAUCAGGCAGCUUCGUGUUGAAGUGGACGUAGUGAAAUCGGAGGUCGAGGAACGGAAGAAGAACAUGGGCUGCCUCGCCUCAGAAAAGGAGACUGCCCCAACUCAACUGGCUUCGGCUGAGGCCCAACUCCGAAGCUUGAAAGAGAAAGCCUUGGUGCAAGCCAAGAAAAUCGAAGUUCCAGUCUCGGUUGAGCUCAACAAAUUCUAAUCGAGAGAGACCGGCCAUAGAACUUGCAGCAGCCAAAUCGGAGGUCGAGAAAACCAUGGCCAAUACUGAUGCAAUGGUGUCCGUUUAUCGAUCUGAUGCCGAAGUUGCUUAGGUUCGAGCAAAGGAGGUUGCUGAGGCUGCUCAGGCUCAAGCAAACUGGGUUGCCGAGCAUGCUAAAUGCCAGUCUUGAAGGGAGACUCUCGAAGAGAUCCAUGCUCGCGGCUUUGAUCUUACAGCCGAGAUCGAGAAAACUAAGGAGCUUGAAGCCGAAACCAGAGUGUUGGCCUUUCCCGAUGAUGAUGAUACCGGGAGUACGAGCGGAUCUGAAAGUGAAGGGGGCCUCGAGGGUGAAGAUGCUGCUCCCGGAGAGGACUAAGUCCUUUAGUAUUUUUUGUGUUUCUUAUAAGACAGUUUUGGUCUUUUGUAGAGAAAUUUUAUCGGGCCAUGCUGCCCUUGUAAAUGAUUUUUGACAUGUAUAAAAAAAACUUUCUUCAUUUCUGCCUUAUAAGAUUGUGAAGUUGUAUUCUAUUGUCGGGGUUCAGAUAAUUUGACCAAAACCGAACUAGUGUAACCCUUAGACCUUUUGAUCGAGUGAGUACUUGCUCGAACUCGAAGUAAAGUAAUCCUUGGUUUUUUAGUUGAGCGAGGACGGUCUCUCGAACUCAAAGCAGAAAACAACCCUUAGGUUUUAUGAUUGAGUGAGUGUUUGCUCGAACUCGAAGUAAAAAACAAACUUUAGGCUUUAUGGUCGAGAGAGUGUUUGCUCGAACUCGAGUAAAAAGCAGCCCUCAGGCCUUAUGGUCGAGUGAGUGUUUUCUUGAACCCAAAGUAAAAAAAUAGUCCUUAGGCCUUACGGUCAAGUGAGUGUUUGCUCGAACUCAAAGUAAAAAAUAGCCCUUAGGCCUUAUGGUCGAGUGAGUUUUUGCUCGAAUUCAAAGUAAAAAACAGCCCUUAGGCCUUAUGGUCGAGUGAGUGUUUGCUCGAACUCGAAGUAAAGUAACCCUUAGGUUUUUGUAAAAAGGAUUGUUUAUGGCCUUGUCCCCUUUCCGUCUUAAACGAGUUUCUUAUCAUUCGUAUUUGCGAAACUUGUAAUGCCUUAGCAUGAAAUAGGGACUUAUUCGAGAGUUCGAACAAUUUUUGUACUCAUUAGAGUUUUCGAGGCUUGAUAUUAUCGAAGCCUUUUAUGAUUUUUCUGGGGGAUAGCCUUUCUGACCCUGUUAUGUAACGGAAUUCGGAUGUCUCCGAUUCGUGUUAAUUCAGCCGUAGCCUCUUUAGUCCGAGAUUUGCGUCUUGAGCUUAUUUUCCCGUUUUACUUCAAGCUUGCCCAAAGUAUCAGUCCCCGAAUGGGGUGGCGUGGCUUAUAAAAAUCCUUAUUUAGUUCGGGAUUUGCUUCUUAGGCUUAUAAUCUUCGGAGUUUAUAUAAUUUGAUCUCGUCGGUUUUUUGGACGGCAGUCCCCGAUUUGUGGGGUUAAUCAUUCGAACUCCGAUCAUGGUCGGCCCUUAAGCUGUUUGCAUAACACAAGUAGAAGAACCUUUCUAAGGUAUGAGAUAUCGGUAAAGAAGGAAUUUCUCUUUAUACAUCAUUAUACAUGCGUACAUGUUUUGAGUCAGGGCUCGAGCAAACUAUGCGGGCAUGGUUCGUUUUGACCAUUUGUCCCUUACAAAUUUUUCCUAUCGAGACCCUAUUGCCAUAAAGUAAUUUCCUUGCAUCGAACUUGAUAUAUUCUAGGGCAAUGCCCCCCAGUAAGUGCAACGCGUGCUUUCAGAUCUAAAGGCUUCGUGUUGAAGAAUCCAUCCCUAUUUCUGAUCGAACACCUACAAGGGUUAGUUUCGAAAUACAAAUGAACAUGGGAGGGUCGUACCUUAGUAGUAGUAUCGUUUUAGGUAUGAUACGUUCCAAUUGCUCGGUAGUCAUUUGCCGUUUAUCAUACCGAGCUUGUAGGAUUCUUUUCUGACGAUUCCGAGAACCUGAUACAGUCCUUCCCAGUUCGGACACAGUUUCCCUUCAUUCGGAUUUCGAGUGUUGGGGGUGACUUUUCUUAGCACCAAAUCCCCGAUUUUAAAUGUCGAAGAUUGGUUCUUCGAUUGUAGUACCACUCAAUUCGCUGUUUUUGGGCUGCCAGUCGGACGAGAGCGGCUUCUUAUCUUUCGUCCAACAAUUCUAGGCUAGUACUCAUGGUCUAGUUAUUCGACUCCUCUGUUGCAUAUCGAAACCUGAUGCUAGGUUCUCCGACCUUGGCCGGGAUCAGGGCUUCGACGCCAUAAACCAACGAGAAUGGUGUUGCUCCUGUACUGGAUUUCGAUGUUAUGCGGUAUGCCCAUAGGACCUCGGGUAGUAUUUCUCUCCAUUUUUAUUUGGCGUCGGUCAAUCUCUUCUUAAAAUUUUGGAUUAUGGUUUUGUUGGUCGAUUCGGCUUGUCCGUUCCCGCUGGGAUGAUACGGUGUUGAUAUGAUCCUUUUGAUCUUGUGAUCCUCGAGAAAUUUAGUUAUUUUGCUGUCGAUGAAUUAUUUUCCAUUAUCACAUACAAUCUCGGAUGGCAUCUCGAAUCGACAUAUGAUGUGGUCCCAAAUAAAGUCUAUCACUUCUUUUUCUCUGACUUUCUCGAAAGCCUNNNNNNNNNNNNNNNNNNNNNNNNNGUUGAUAAAUCAUGGGCGCAUGUCUUUGGCAUUUGUAGCAUUUUCGAACGAACUCCCUUGCAUCCUUGCCCAUAUCGGUCCAAUAAUACCCCGCUCUGAUUACUUUGUGGACUAGCGAAUCGGCACCGAAAUGGUUUCCACAAAUGCCCUCGUGAAUUUCCCGUAGAAUGUAAUCGAUAUCUCUUGGUCCCAAACAUAUUGCCAAUGGUCCAUCGAACGUCCUUCUAAAUAGCGUUCCAUCUUCGACAAGGUGAACCGUGCUGCCUUCAUGCGUAGAGCUCUCGAUUCCUUUGGAUCUGAUGGAAGCUUCCCAUUUUUGAAGUACUCUAUAUAUUUGUUUCUCCAAUCCCAGGUUAAACUUGUGGAGUUUAUCUCAGCGUGACCUUCUUCGAUUACCGAUCUCAUGAGUUGUACGACAGUCCCCGAGUUGAGUUCGUCAUCUUCGACCGAUGAACCUAAGUUUGCAAGAGCAUCGGCCUCGCCUAAAGUCCGAUUGACAUAAUAAAUACGAAAUUGCGUACCUCAUUUUUCUCGAACCAGAACUCCACUUACCGCUAUCUCUGAGACAACUAAGUACAGGUAAAGUUGUUCGUCCACUUUUGGGGUAUGAAGCAACGGCGGGCUCGAUAAAUACCGCUUUAGUUCUUCCAAAGCCGGUUGGCAUUCCGGAGUCCAUGCAAAGUUGCUUUUCUUCUUAAGCAGUGAGAAAAAUCGGUGGCUCAUAUAUGAGGAUAUCGAAAUGAAUCGUCCUAGGGCGGCUAUCCGUCGCGUUAGCCUCUGCACGACCUUUACAUUAUUUACUACCGCGAUGUUCUCAAUAGCUUUUAUUUUAUCGGGAUUGAUCUCGAUUACUCGAUUGGACACCAUAAAACCAAGAAACUUGCCCGAGCCACCCCCGGAUGCACAUUUUUCAGGGUUGAGCUUCAUAUUGUACUCCCUCAGUAUGUCGAAAGUUUUCUGCAAAUGCUUUAAAUGGUCCUCUGCUCGCAGGGACUUAACUAACAUGUCAUCAAUAUAAACUUCCAUUGAUUUUCUUAUUUGGUUUUCAAACAUUCGAUUUACUAGGCGUUGAUAAGUUGCACCAGCAUUUUUAGACCGAAUGGCAUUACGUUAUAACAGUAGGUACCGUACUUAGUGAUAAACGAGGUCUUUUCCUGAUCCUCCGGGUUCAUCUGUAUCUGGUUGUAUCCGGAGUAGGCAUCGAGAAAAUUGAGAGUCUCGUGGCCGGCCCGUGGCAUCGAUCAUACGAUCGAUAUUAGGCAAAGGAAAAGAAUCCUUAGGGCAUGCUUUGUGCAUGUCUUUAUAAUCUAUACACAUUCUAAGUUUGUUUCCCUUCUUAGGGACUGCCACCACAUUUUCUAGCCAUUCAAGGUAUUUUACUUCUCGAAUGGAUCCUAUUUUUAGAAAUUUGGUUACCUCGUCAUUGAUGAAAACAUGUUUGACCUUGGACUAGGGCCUUUUUUUUGCUUUACCGGAUGAAAUUUCGGAUCCAAGCUCAGUCUAUGAGUGGUUAUUUCUGGUGGGAUCCCUGUCAUGUCAAGAUGGGACCAAGCGAAACAGUUCAUGUUAGCUAUAAGAAAUUGAAUAAGCUUUUUCCUGAGCUCGGGAUCUAACCCCGUGCCCAGGUAUACCUUUCGCUCGGGCAGAUGUUCGAUUAGCGUGAUUUGCUCCGGUUCUUCGACCGUUGAUUUGGUAGCGUCGGAAUCAUUAGGGACCACGAAGGAUCGAUGGAUCCCAUAGUCAUCAUCUUUGUCAGUCUUCUGAUUCUCUAGUUGGGUUGAGGCUGACGUUUGUGAUUGAUAUUUGGUAUCCCGUUCCUCUUUGAGUAUGAUCCCUUUGUCGAUGAUAGUGAAGAUAUCGGAAUCACUUCAUCGACGACAAACAUUUUCUUUGCGGCCGGUUGCUCCCCGUAGACCAUUUUAAUUCCCUCCGAUGUUGGGAAUUUCAGAACUUGGUGAAGGGUCAAGGGCACUACUCUCAUGUUUUGGAUCCUUGGCCUCCCGAACAGGGCGUUAUAUCUCAUAUCGCCCUCGAUCAAGUGGAACUUCGUUUCUUGGAUGGUCCCAGCCACGUUUACUGGCAAAAUUAUCUCGCCCUUAGUAGUUUCACACGCCAUAUUGAAUCCGUUUAGUACCAGGGGUGCGGGCACGACCUGGUCCUGUAGACCGAGUUUCUCUACGACCCUUGAUCGAAUGAUGUUGACCGAACUACCUAGACCAAUUAACACACGCUUAACUUGAGUUUUAUUCAUAAGUGUAGAUAUUACCAGUACAUCGUUAUGGGGUUGCAUGAUUCCUUCCGCGUCUUCGUCACUAAAGGACAAGGUUCCUUUUGGUGUGUAAUCCUGAACCUGAGACAAUCGACAUCUUAGUGCAUUUAAGCACCGGCCCCUGGGGGAUAUCGAUCCCUCCGAUGAUCGUGUGGAUGAUGUGUUGUGGCUCUUUUUGUUCGUUUUGUCUAUUGAAAUCUUUGUUUUUGAAAUGGUUUUUGGCCCGGUCACUUAAAAACUCUCGAAGGUGCCCUUCAUUGAAUAACCGGGUUACCUCCUCUCUCAACUGCCUGCAGUCUUCAGUUCUAUGGCCAUGGGUGCCAUGAUACUUGCACAUUUGAUUGGGAUUUCUCUGGGCUGGAUCGGACUGCAGAGGUCGAGGCCACUUAGUAUCUUUGAUGCGUCCGAUAGCCGACACGAUGGCGGAUGCAUUAAUGUUGAAGUUAUAUUCUGAUAACUGCGGUGCUUCCUUAGGUCCGGUAUGCAUGUCGAACCUAUUCUUGUUCAUCAAACCCCGAGACCCUUGGCCUCGAUCAUUUCUCCUUUCGCCUCGUACGGAGUUGCGUGCAGGUUCGCUACCCCUACUAUCUCCGUUAUAUGACCGAUAUCGGUCCUUGCUCGACCUUGGUUCUCGGUCGAUGUCCCUUUUAAUAACGGACCCAGAACCCAACUGGUCAUCUUCGACUCUAAUCUUCGAUUGAUAUCGAUUAUGUACAUCAGCCCAGAUAACAGGCAGGUACUCGAUCAAGUUCUGCUUCAACUAUCGUGAAGCCAUCGAGCUUCGUUCGUUCAGUCCUUGAGUGAAAGCUUGAACAUCCCAAUCAUCCGUGACCGGUGGUAGAUCCAUUCGUUCUAUUUGAAAAUGAGAUACGAACUCUCUUAGCAUCUCGUUAUCUUUUUGCCAUACCUUGAAAAGGUCCGACUUCUUGGUCUCGACCUUUAUAGCUCCGGCAUGUGCUUUUACGAAAGAAUCUUCAAGAAUAGCAAAAGAAUCGAUAUAGUUAUGCGGUAAAUUAUGAUAUUAUAUCAUUGUCCCCUUUGACAGGGUUUCCCUGAACUUCUUCAAUAAUACGGAUUCGAUCUCGUCGUCUUCUAGAUCGUUCCCUUUAAUGGCACAUGUGUAAGAGGUGACAUGUUCGUUGGGGUCGAUCGUCUUAUUAUAUUUAGGAAUUUCGGGCAUGCGAAACCUCUUAGGGAUCGGUUUGGGAGCCGCGCUCGGGGGGGGGGAAGCUUUUGUACAAAUAUUUUGGAAUCCAAGCCCUUCAAUACCGGUGGUGCCCCCGGGAUCUGAUCAACCCUGGAGUUAUAAGUUUAUACUUUUUCGUCGUUUGCUUCAAUCCUCUUUUCUCCUGACUUAAUUCAUUUUGUCAGUUCCUCGAGCAUCCUAAUAAUUUCGGGAUUAGUCCCCAAUUCUUGUUCACUUGAUCUUACUACAGCUGGCCCCGUUUUGUGGGUGACUUCUCAAGGUGGACGGGGCUCGGCCCUGCUCGGUGCCUUGGUUUGGCUCUGCAACUGAGCUAUUACUACCUGUUGAGCUUGCAACAUUUCAAAAAUCAUACGCAGGCUGAUCCCGUCUUCUCCAACAUUUUGGGUAUUUCAAAUUGUAGAUCGAGUUCCACCAUGAAUGUUAUUUUCGGGGUCGGAACGUUGGUUCGCCUCGAUGGCCAUAUGUGAAUUAAAGUCAAUUAGAUCUACGACCCGAGCUCCAACUGGAUCGACGAGUGGCCUUUCAUCCCCCGUCGCCAGGUUGUUGUUCUCAUCUUAAAGGCCAGCUUCGUUGUCAAUAGGUAGGGCCAUUAAUUGAGAGUUCGUCGUUUUUAACCUGAAAUCAAAGACACUUCCAAGAGCAAGUGUAAAAUGGUGUGUUUUGCGAGAUUCGUACCAAAUAACCACUGUUAUCCUUAGCCCCACGGUGGGCGCCAAACUAUUUACUCGAAAAACGGAUAGAGUUGAAUUUAUACAUAGUUCUAAGGAUACGUGGUAUAACUCGGCAAAAAUUAGAAAAAUAAUUGACUGUAAAAAAGAAUGAAUAUAAACCUUAAUUGAGUAGAGAAUGAUUGAUAAAUGAACAAGAUGAAUCAAUAUCAAAAGCCCAAAAAAGAAUAAUAUUUGCUAGAUGUUAUGUAAAUCUUCAUAAUCUCUGAAUGUGAGAAUGUGUGAACGUAUAUCAAUCUCCUCUUUUACAAAUAUUAGCCACUCCUAAUAUAGUGGAGGAAUCGUACUUCGGAUAUAAUUAAAAAUAUAUAGUGGGGAUCCCAUGAUAGAUUAAUUAAUUGACUUUUUCUUAACUCAAGCCGUGAUUUCAGCCGUAAUUUCAGCCGAGAUUUUCUCCCCAAAUGCAGCUAUAACGACUUUGUUAUUCCUUGGCUCGGUCUCUGGGUCUCGAGCUCGACCUUGACUUGAUCUCAGUAUUUGAUCGGUCUCUGGAUUUCGAGCUCGACUUUGAUUCGAUCUCGGUAUUUGAUCGGUCUCUGGGUCUCGAACUCGACCUUGACUCGAUCUCGGUAUUGAUCGGUCUCUAGGUCUCGAGCUCGACCUUGACUCGAUCUCGGUAUUGAUCGGUCUCUAGGUCUCGAGCUCGACCUUCCAACUUCACAUCACAUCUCGAUAUUAUAAUGACAAACCUCGGUCCAUCAUGCUCCAGUCUUGAUUAGUCACACGAAGGGCAAACUCGAUUAUGACCAUAUACACAAUGUUUGAAAUAUUUAAACGAUUGAAUUAUUUCAAAGGUAAUUACACUUAACUCUAUUUAGUAAGUAUUCAUGGAUAAUCUAUUAAUAAAUAUUAAGUAACCUUACUAUAAUAUGUUAAAUUACACUAACAACAUAGACAGAUGUAACGUGCUAAUGACGCGUUCAUUGGAACUUUCACAUGUUGAAUUGGAAUUUGUUGGGUUUCAACCCGAUGAGGCCGGACUUAGGGGCGACUCAUCAGUAUUCGAGGCCUAAAGCAAAGUCUUAAUAAAAGUCAUUAUAUAUAUAUAUAAAAUUUAAUGAGCAUCAUUUUUUGAAAAAUUAGACAAGUGAGUAUGUGAAAUGAAAAAAAAUGAGAACUUGAUUUUAUAAAGUACAAAAAAAUUAUGAAUUUUACGUUGAUUGCAUUACAACUGAAAUGAGAGAACCGAGAAAACAUACUUCCUCCGUCCCAACUUAUGUGAAUCCUUUAUUUUUAGUCAGCCCUCUUUCUAUAUUUGGUAAUAAUCCAACUUUAUAUUUUCUUUUUUACCCUUAAUGAGAUGAUUUCUAGCCACAAAAGUUUCUAUGAUUUAUUUUAGAUCACAAGUUUUAAAAUUUUUCUUUAUUUCAUAACUCCAUGUCUAGUCAAACACUUUCAUAUAGAUUGAGACAGAGAGAGUAUAAUUUAUGUGAGAAAAAUAAAUAAUAAGUUAGAUUAUUAGAUAUAGUUACGUGACUAACUAAUGAGAGAGAAAUAUAAUUUAGUAAAAAUGUAAAAUAAGAUUGACAGAAAACUAUUUUGAUUAUAUUAAUUAGAGGAAGAAAUUGAGUUAUUAAAAUUAAUAUGACAAUAAAGAAAUAAUUAUAUAAAUAAUAUGCUAUAUAUAAAAAAAUAGUAAUUUUGAGACCCUUAAAUUCUUGAGGCUUAAAGUUAGGAAGCAAGUGCUUCACUUGCUUUAGGGUCUUGCCGCCCCUGGCUGGACUACAACCCAUAAACCACAAUCACCUACAUCGUUCCACACCAUAUGAUCAACCCAAUAACCCAUACUUAGCAUUUGUUGUAGGAAAAAUAUUUAGAAAUAGUCUAAUUUACGAUUAAUGAUUGAAAAAUAGCCACAGUUUCUAAAGUAAUUAAAAUUUAGUCAUUUUUUUCAUGUAAAGAUAAAAUCUAAACAAAUACCUUUAAAAAUUUAAAAAAAUUCCAGCAUAAUAUGCUGUAGUUCGAACAUUUACAUAUGAGAUUCCAGUAUAAUAUGCUAGAAUUUCAUAAUGUGCUGGAGUUCCAACAUAAUAUGCUCGAAAUUUAUAUGCAGAACUCCAAAAUCCAGCAUAUUAUACUGAAAACUUCCAUAUUUCAGCUAAAAUAGUAGUAACUAUUUUUUAAUAAUUUUAUAAAUACAAAUUAUUUUUUAAUUAUCAGUCCCAAAACUAUCUAACCAUAUUAUUUUCACGUUAUUGUAUCCUGCUAUUCAAGCCCAUGAUUUAAAUAGGGCCAGUAUUUUCAGUUCUGGAUACUAUGCUUAAUUAAGUGAUCAAAUAUCAGAUAAACAUCACUUGGUGGCUUCAGGAGACUUCUACGUCCAUGUGGCAGUGACGUGGACUCAUUUCUAUUCGGCAUGUGUCAAACUCCCAUUUGGUAAAAUCAUAGGGGUCUUGUCCUAUUAUAUCCUAGGUGUCUCCGGAACCCUCUGUUCUCCUAUUAUUAAAUGGAUCACAAACGCAAAAGUGAUCAUCCGCAAACAAUUCGAUUUUGAGCAGAUACACUAAGCUUAGAAUCAUAUAAUAUCAAAAUUCUUAACUUAGUUCGAUCUACAGCAAUUGUUUACUCCUAUGGCUUUUAGAUCAGCGGUAAGUUCCAAUUACUUCUAUUAUUAUAUAACUUGCCAACUUGGUGUGAUGAUUGUUGCUCUUUCGCUCAUUAUUCAUCUUGAUGCUAGAUUAAAGUAAGAUAAAAGGUUUUUUUUUUCCCCGAUGUUGCAGACUUAUCUAAAAUCCAUUGUUAGUCACUUAUUAAAGGGAAGUUCCUCAGUAAAUUAUGCAACAGCAGCCACUUCAAGAUUUAAGGGAGCGUCACCACCCGUCCAACUUAAAGCGACUGUGCCCAAGUAAGAUUAUCGUUCUACUCCAUAAUCUACUCCUUUUACGUAAAGGAUUUUACGGUUUAUGUAUGCCACUGGCCGCGAAGCCGAGAAUUUUACGGAGGGUGUUCAAAAUUUAAUAUACACUUAUAAAAUAUUAUUUUUGGCCUAUAUACAUAAUAUAAGUUUCUAGAUAUACAAUAUAAUUUUUUGUUGACAACCCUUAAAUGUAUGUGGCUACCCACUAGCCACUGAGUUUGUUGUUGUUGUAUGCGGAUGAUGGCCUAAUUCAGAAUUUAGUAUCAAGUGAAAUAAAAAAAAUAAGAGCGGUCUUAUUAUAUGUUUGCAUUUUAAUUUUUAAGACGUAUGCAUACUCCAGAAAUGGAUUCAAUUUAAUAUUCCUAAAUUCGCCUCUGAUAGUUACAGGUCAAAGAAGGGAGACUUUGUGCCAGUGUGUGUGGCGCUAGGAAUGAUCGGACUAUCGGCGAGUUUCGGGCUGCACACGGCGAUGCAUCAGCUGAGGCGAGCCCCUAAUGUGCAUGUAAAAAAAUCAAGGAGGGAAACUCUGCCUGAGAUAGUGGAGCCAGAACAUGUUGCAGAAGAUGCAGAUAAGUUCAUUAACAAAUCUUUAUUCCGAAAGGUGGCUCACAUUCAGGAUUUUUCUACUAGCCGUGUCAUUCCUGAUCCAGCUCAUGGCGACGUUUAUACCAAGUUAGUAGUAAAGCUAAUACAACUAUUUAAUUACUUCUAUUACUUGCUUUUCAAUUUUGUUUCUCUUUUCGAUUAGCACAAAUAUGGGAUAGUAUUGGUACUUAUCUAGCAAUUUUAUUAUUGCAGGAAGCCGGGUGUAGUGACCUUGAAGACUGUAGGAGUGGAUCCAAAUUAAGCUGUAAAUUAUAUGUAGGUUUUGUGGAGUACUUUGGUUGUAUUUUAGAGUUUAAUCUGUAAUUAUAUAACACUGUACGAAAAUAUGAUAGAACUCAUAUAGUAGAUCAGUAGAUGUUUAAGAUUACGUGAUGGUGUUACUCUUGAUAUUGUGCAUGUUUAUGAAUGAGAGUACUAUAAAUAUGUAGUACAGCUUUGUGAAUACUAUGGCAAUGACUGAUGCAAUUGGGCUACUUUCCAAUGCCAUGUGAUGUUUUUUUGCCUAUCUCGAUGGACGACUUUCGACUCUGCUACACGUUGCAAAAUUAUAUAUUGGCCACCUAGCUACUUCUACUAUAUAAUAUAGUGCAAAGGGACAAACUGUCUUCUUCUUAUUUUCUUUCUAAUUUGUAUCUUACUAAGUUUGUGGGGUUUAAGGCGUUGAGCUUUGAUAUUGUUUGACCAAAAAUAUAAUUCUUGGUUCAAAUAAUUAAAUUUAUGUGAUUAUGAAUUAAACUUAGUUAAUAAUAAUAUUUCUAGAUAUAACUUUCGAGAGUGUGAUAAACGUCAGACAGAUCUGGUCGAAUAAUAAUAACAGUAUGCAAUAACUAUUCCAAAAAGUAUGAGUAAUAAUGUAGCAUUUAAUAGCAAUGAGAAGCAAUAAAUGACAUUUAAGUAAAUAGGAGGAAUGAUUCACCCAAUAAAGGAUGAGCUAGAUAGUUGUUUCUCCUGACAAUGAUGAGUGACAGACAAAUCCUUGAAUGCUCGAAUUAUUUUCGGAUAUGAUGAAAAAGUAUGGAAUAAUAUAGACAAGAAUCUUAGUGAAAAGAUGAUAUUUGUAUAUUAGUAAGAGUGAGAAUCUUUUUUUAUCAAAGUGUGUUCUUGCAAAUGAAUAUUACAUACCCCUAUCAUUGCCUCUUUUUUCUUUUAAUAGUACAAGUAAAGAAAAUAUCUACUAGAAUAUUUCCUUUUAAUAUCAUAUCCUGACAAACUAGCCGUUACAGCUCAUGUCAUUGAUAUUCAACUUCGAUCUCGACUCUUGUUGACAUCUUGACUACGGCUCUUGUUGACAUCUCGACUACGGCUCUUGUUGACAUCUCGACUAAGGCUCAUGUCGACACUUCGGCCAAGGACUUUGCUGCAUCCUGGGUCGCUUCGACUAACGUCGACUCCGAGAAUCCUUCCCAUUACAUUACCUUGGCAUGGAUACUCUAAAGACAGAUUUUGCCUCAUACAGUUAGUCCCUCCACUUAUUGAGAUCGACUUCAGGCGGGGUCGAUGAGCGGAUCUGCUCAUCACGGUAGAAACAAUUGAGCGAGCAAUUCAGGUUGUGGUGGUCACGGUGAGUCGACAACUUGGCCCUAUGCGGACCACCUAUUUCGAAACAUCUCGAUUUUCCCGAUCGGUUUGUUGGAAUUAGUCUGUCCACAGAUUAGGAUGACGUCUUGCGUCAUAAUGACGCAUUUUCCCAAGGCGUUGCUUCGUUUCUCGUGAGCCCUUUGAUUGAACCUGCCGCUUCGGUUACGACGCCAGUAAUGAUGAACCCUUUUUGAUUUUGGUGUCCAGGUUCUUAUAGAUAGAUGUGCUUGGGUGUAUUUUUGAAGUAAUAGACCUUCUACUCCAAAACUCCAUAUCUCUUUCUUUCUUCUCUGUGACUUAGCACUUUCUGUUUCAGGGGCUUUGUUGUUUUCGAUCCUUUAUUGCUUGAUACUUUUUUUUCUUCCGAUAAAAAUAUGACUACCGCACCUUCUGAAUCUGGUGAGGGAAGUGAGCCGGUGCCUUUAGCGAUGGUGAUCCCUCCUCAUGAGGAGAACGUUUCUACUGCCGCCAAGGACGGAAGCUUUCCCAUGGUGGAGGAAAUAGUUCCUCGUAACCCCGAUACCAGGUCUGAUUUCUCGAAAUUACCUAAAGCCGAGCCCAGAACCUUCAAAUCGGCGAUGAAGGAGGCCGAUUUGUUAGAGCUUAAGGCUAAAUACGGCCUCCCUAAUCACGUCGAAUUGAUCCCUGCCGGGUGGGAUGCGAUGCAGGUCCGCCGUCCAGGGAACUGCGCUUUCUCAGCCUACCCUUUUCAUGUCGGCUACACUCUUCCUCUUCUUCCGCUAGUGGAGGAGUUUUGUCACUUCUACGGCGUUUGCCCGGCUUAGCUCGUGCCGUAUGUCUACAAACUUAUAAGGAUGCUCACCAAAUUUGCGGAGUUGGCGGGGGUCGAGCUCACACUUCAACACUUGACACACCUAUUCACCUCCAGCUUUUAUAGAGGGACGAUGCUGAAUCUUCGCCACCGAGGAGGUAAAUCUUUGGUGGUGAAGAUGGACGACAAGGUUAACCACCAAUUAUGGAUCAACGUUUUCUUUGUUAGAAUUGAGGACGUGGUGGCCAAUGCCGAUGGUUUCCCUAAGGCUUGGAAUUGUACUUGUAAGUAUGCGCCUCCUUAUUUGUAGGUAUCCAAAUUUUCUUUUGUGUUUGGCUGUGAUGCUAACCUUCUGCCCCUUCUUGUGCAGCUACGUGUUUGCCUCCGCCAUUGGUCGAUGAUAUUUCCAACUAGAUGGGUCGGCUCCUUCCUCACAUCAUGGGGAUAUGUGAAUGGUCGGGCUUCUUCAAAAGGUUUGGCCCCCAUCUCCCUUCGACUGGUAAGUUAUUCUCGUCUUUGGUCUCUUAGUUAUUUAUCUUUUGUGGCUUACUUUGACUGACUUUCUUUUCCCUUUGUACUUCCCUUAAUUUCAGCUAGGGGGUCCUCGAGGAGGUCGAAAGCUCCCACACCCGCGUUCCGUAAGAGGAAAGUUGUUGCCUCUUCGGCUCCCGCCUCUUCUAUGAACGAGACUGAUUCUGCUCACUCCUAGGUCUUGCCCGUUGCUGCUCCAGUAUCUGUUCCUUCUUUAGCUGCGAAGGUUUAGUCCGCAGAGCCUACGACUUCUCCUUUGUACUUUCUCAUAAAUGAGGAAGAGGAGUCAUUGUGAGGUGAUGGGGACUUGAUGCCUCGUAAAGGGAGAUCAGUGGACGUCGGCGAUAGGAUCGCCUAGGUUGUUGGCUCAAUGGCGAGUGAUUUUACACUGCGCGAGACAACGACUAUUGUCAUUAAAGAUGAUGUCAGGCCGAUGUCUGAGAUUCCGAGAUCGGCGGAGGCCGACGAGGGUAUCUCUCCCUUCUAUGAUGACGGAGGCCGAAGGGCUGACUACUAGAGCUUUUGACACUUCGCGGCAAGUCGAGUCGUCGACUUCGCGGCCAGUUGAUGAUACUUUUUUGUCGGCCGAUGGGAGAGGCAAAGACGUUGACGAAGAAGGCUGUGAUACGGGUUCAGUGAUGCUAGUGACUUGAGGAUGAUGGAGGAAGGGUUUACCCAGCUCGAGGUAAGGCUAGAGGGGUCUACGAGGACCAUUGCGAUCCCCAUGGAUCGUGAUAUGCUAAAGAAUACGGAGAACGUAGUUCCUGCCCUCGGCCCUCUUUUCUCUGAAAUAGAGGGUGAAACCCUCAAAGAACUGAACGAUGUCACCUUGUUGAGGAGCAUAGUCGGCCUUGCUUUAAGGUGAGUAUUUUUGGGCUUCGUCCUUUUGUGUUUUUUUUAAAAGUGUUUUGCCUUUGUUAGCAGGGGCAUUUUCAUUUUUGCCUCCCUUCCUUUUCUUUUUGUGAGUACAGACCAUUAUUUUGGAUAUUAAAAGUGCCCGAAGGGAGGAGAAGCGUAUGAAAAUAUUUGAGAGGUUGAAAAAUAAAUAUUUCGAGUACCGUGGCAAGUACCGUGAGUUUCGCAUGCGGUUUGGUGAGGGCGGCAAUUUGCAGGCCUUUCCAGAUGAAUUGAAGGAGAAGGAUGACGAGUUGGUAAGAGUCAUCAAGAAGUGUAGCGUCUUGAGGGAAAGUUAAGGAGUAGGGAAAAAAAGCUUGAGGUCAGCAGAGUCAUAGAGGCCCAGUGCGGCGACCUUCAGGCACAAGUGGUCGAGCUGCGCAGACAAUUGGAGGAAUGCCGGCUCCAGAUGGAGGUCCUUAAUGGCGAAGUUGCUGAGAAAGUGGAAUAGUUGGAGAAGGUUGAGGCGGCGCGGUCAGAGGAUCUGAAUAAGGCGGAGUCCCAUAAUACAUAGAUUCCUUCAUAACUUAUACAUGUAUUAGUUAUACGGAAAAGAAAAACAUGAACCAAAUAUUGUAUUAGCAAUGCUACAUUUAAAAAAACAACCAAACAUUGUAUAACUUAUGCUAGCUUCUAUGUGGAGAUUAUUUGUUUCCCUUCUUUUAACCAAACAAUGUAUAAAGCUAUCCUAGUUUUAAUACAUGGAUAACUCCUCUCUAACCGGCUACCAAACGGCCUCUAAGGUUAAACCUUUCUUAAAAAUAUGAGUAGUACUGCGUUAAUCUACAAAGUCAGGCGCUUAUAUCGUUUAUAUCAAUAGUAUGAUAGUAAUGCAAAUUGUAUGUAUUUUCUUUAACUUUCCGUUUUAGCUUCUUCCUCCACAUUCUCAUAAUUGUUCAACUCCUCUUCCAGUUUUCUUUUUUCCUUCUUGUCUUCUCUCUUCCUACUCAAUUUAUGUGCUUGGUUGUAUAGUUAUAAGAUGAGUUUUGCUUUCAAAUUUUCGGAAUCGUUGCUGCGUAAAAAUUAUAUAAAUUGGGUAAAUUGUUGGUCCAUUAUUUUCUGUGUUUGUACGCAAAAAAUUGCGAUUGAUUGGGGGACCAAUGUGACGAGGGUACUGGUGGCCAAAUGCGGUGACAGAGCAGAAGAUUGCGAUGGUGGUGAUCAGUAGUCUUUUCUUCUUCUCUUUUUUGUAAACUUUUGUAUAUUUUUGGCGGCAUCUUCAUGAGCCUUUGUAAAAAAUAUUUUAAGUAUGAAAUGCCAAAUUUGGUCUCUGCAUUUGCUUUUGUUUUCUGUACUUAUAUGUUUUUGCUUCUGUUGCUUGUGCAUUGGAACAUGGCCGAGCUCGUCAACUUUUUUGGUUGUGACCUUUCGUUAGGUUACGGUCAAGGGCCGAUAGGUAUUUAUUCGAACGAGUUUGAUCAUAACUUUUCGUUUAAGUUGCGGCCGAGGGCCGGUUGUUAGUUCGAGCGAGGUCGACCACAACCUGAACUUAAUUAUGGUCGAGGGCCGAUAGGUGGUAGUUCGAACAAGGUCGAUCAUAACUUUUAUUUACUCAUGGCCGAGGGUCGGCAGGUGUUAGUUGGAACAAGGUCGAACAUAACCUAUAUUUAAUUAUGUCCUAGGGCCGACAUAUGUUAGUUCGAGCAAGGUCAAACUUAACCUGAAUUUGAGAUAAAUAUGCUGGUAAGUGUAAAGUUUAUUGCCUUGACAUUGUUGCAUUUGUUACAUACUUGGAGAAAUUUACAGAUUUUGGGUGUUGGCUGGCAUUUCAGUCCCAGUCCCAGUCCCAGUCUAUCUAGUCCCUUCAUUGGUCGAUCUGGAGAGUAGUGAGAGGUCGAUCAAUGAAAUAUUAACCAGGACUUGCCUUCGCGUACUUCAACUUUAAGUGUUCCCUUCGUCGCCUCGUUAAAAACCUUCUUGAGAAAACCCAGCUGGGACAAAACUUAAGUUAGGGAAAAAAGAGUACGACUUGGGGGACACUUUUUCUCUUAGAAGUUGAAGUAUUUGAGGUGGCUGAUAUUCCAGUUGUUUGGUAGUAGCUUUCCUUCCAUUGUUUCUAGUUGAAAUGAUUCUUUAUUUGCUUUUGUUGUGAUUUUUUACGGACCGUCCCAAUUUAUUCCCAGCUUGCCUUCCCUGAGAUUUUUGCUCACUUGGGUUUUAGUGACCUGACCUUUGCUUUCUUGUUAUAAUAGCGUUCUGCUUGCUGUUUUUGGGCGAUCAUUCUUAUAUAGGCCAUAUCUCUUCGUUCGUCGACUUCGUCAAGUUCCUACCUUCUACCCUCGUCGUUGCUUGUGCCGCUCUCGUGGGAGUACCUUAGACUGGGCUCUCCGACCUUGACUGGUAUUACCACCUCGGUCCCAUAGACCAAAGAGUAGGGAGUCUAUCCUGUGCUCGUUUUCAGAGUUGUUCGGUAUGCCCACAAUACUUCUGGUAGUACUU
rnacentral:lncRNA from 1 species